rfam:Triticum urartu cultivar G1812 contig142537, whole genome shotgun sequence.
AACCUACUCCCUCCGUCCGGAAAUACUUAUCUUUAAAAUGAUUGUAAAUGAAUGUAUUUAUAACUAAAAUAAGUCUAGAUAUAAUCAUUUUAAAGGCAAGUAUAUUUUAAAGGCAAGUAUUUUCUAACGGAGGGAGUACUUG